AACGAACGCUGGCGGCAGGCUUAACACAUGCAAGUCGAACGCAUCCUUCGGGGUGAGUGGCAGACGGGUGAGUAACGCGUGGGAACGUGCCCUUCAGUUCGGGAUAACCCAGGGAAACUUGGGCUAAUACCGGAUACGUGCGAGAGCAGAAAGAUUUAUCGCUGAAGGAUCGGCCCGCGUCUGAUUAGCUAGUUGGUGGGGUAAUGGCCCACCAAGGCGACGGUCAGUAGCUGGUCUGAGAGGAUGAUCAGCCACAUUGGGACUGAGACACGGCCCAAACGCCUACGGGAGGCAGCAGUGGGGAAUAUUGGACAAUGGGCGCAAGCUUGAUCCAGCCAUGCCGCGUGGGUGAUGAAGGCCUUAGGGUUGUAAAGCUCUUUCGUCCGGGACGAUAAUGACGGUACCGGAAGAAGAAGCCCCGGCUAACUUCGUGCCAGCCGCCGCAGUAA
rnacentral:rRNA from 1 species